UACAGAGGUCCCGAGUGUUGUUCGGAUUCACUGGGCGUAAGGGGUGCGUAGGUGGUCGGGUAAGUCUGAUGUGAAAUCUCUGGGCUCAACCCAGAAAUUGCAUUGGAUACUAUCCGGCUGGAGGAGUGGAGGGGGGACUGGAAUGCUUGGUGUAGCAGUGAAAUGCGUAGAUAUCAAGCGGAACACCAGUGGCGAAGGCGAGUCCCUGGACACUUCCUGACACUGAGGCACGAAAGCUAGGGGAGCAAACAGG
rnacentral:rRNA from 1 species